UACUAUUUAACUUAGGUACAACCCUGCCCUCUGACUUUUAACAGCCGCGGUAUCCUAACCGUGCUAAGGUAGCAUAAUCACUUGCCUAUUAAUUAUAGGCUAGAAUGAACGGGAUCACUCACUUAAACUUAUUUUUAUUUAAAUUUAAAUUAAACUUUAAGUCAAAAUACUAAAUUAAAAAGAAAGACAAAAAGACCCUGAAAACUAUUAGAAAUAAUUAGUUGGGGCAACUAWAGACCACUCUAGCGUCUAUUUUUUUUUAAACUCUUAAAAUCUAAAGUAUCCAGUUACUUCAGGGAUAACAGACUAAUUUUAUUAUUUAGACCCAAUAAAUAAUAAAGAUUGGCACCUCGAUGUUGGCUUAUAUUUCCUUCAUAUAGCAACAUAUAUAGAAGGCAGCUUGUUCAUCUGUUAAAUAUUUACAUGAG
rnacentral:rRNA from 1 species